ensembl:miRNA Gm54384 predicted gene, 27671
GACUGGGAUGUCACGGAAUAUGGUGUUUGUGACUUGAUUGAUAUAAUAUCAGAGAUCCCAGACACA